rnacentral:rRNA from 1 species
AGAUACAGCCAUAUCACCCUGCAGCACAAGACUGGUUACUCACUAAAGAUUAGCAGGGCUGAGUCUGGCCAGUACCUGGAUGGUAGACCACAUGGGAAAAUUAGGUUGCUGUUAAAA